GACGAACGCUGGCGGCGUGCCUAAUACAUGCAAGUUGAGCGCUGAAGGUUGGUACUUGUACCAACUGGAUGAGCAGCGAACGGGUGAGUAACGCGUGGGGAAUCUGCCUUUGAGCGGGGGACAACAUUUGGAAACGAAUGCUAAUACCGCAUAAAAACUUUAAACACAAGUUUUAAGUUUGAAAGAUGCAAUUGCAUCACUCAAAGAUGAUCCCGCGUUGUAUUAGCUAGUUGGUGAGGUAAAGGCUCACCAAGGCGAUGAUACAUAGCCGACCUGAGAGGGGGAUCGGCCACAUUGGGACUGAGACACGGCCCAAACUCCUACGGGAGGCAGCAGUAGGGAAUCUUCGGCAAUGGACGAAAGUCUGACCGAGCAACGCCGCGUGAGUGAAGAAGGUUUCGGAUCGUAAACCUCUGUUGGUAGAGAAGAACGUUGGUGAGAGUGGAAAGCUCAUCAAGUGACGGUAACUACCCAGAAAGGGACGGCUAACUACGUG
rnacentral:rRNA from 1 species